rnacentral:lncRNA from 1 species
CAACGCGAUCCGUCGCAGUGAGGACUUUAGACGACGGCGAUAGGUAUCAAUAUCGGAUCAGAACCACCCAGAUUUUUCCCAACUUAAUGACUUCACCCACCGCCUGACUCCACGGCGAACUUAUUCGACUUAUUUUAAAGUGGCUGAAGAGAUCGGAGUCAGCAACUUUUCACAUAGCCUCUCAUCGUCUCCGGACUUACAAAAUAACAACAAUUUGGUGGCUUAGCAUCUUGUGGAUUAUCGAUACGCUAAGCCGUCGAAGCCACUGCGCACAGCGGUAAGUUUUGAACAUAUGCCGAUGGUAAGCAAUAUGCAUUAGAUAAUUGUAAAUUUCCCAGCGACGUUAUUGCAAAGUGCUGGUAUGAAAAUAUAACAUUGGUUCUAUCGCCGAGAAGUUCGUCGUAAUUCGUGAUGGCGGCUAUUAGGAGAGAUCUUACGCUUGUCUUAUUCCAUACGGACAUAAUUCGAAUUUGAAUGAGCGGCUUUCACGACCGGGCAAUUUGUGCCGGCGAGCAUGUAAAUCGAGCAACGCGCGCCUGCCAGCCGCGAAAGAUUUAUAGGGUCUAUUAUGUCGGAAGAAAAAUGUCAAUGUAUCAAAGAAAUGGGCUGCAUCCGCAAGAAAUUCGCCGUAACGCAACAGCGAAAUACCCCGGUCGUUUUCCCCGAUGCCGACGGCUUUCUAAAACGAAGAUGAGGAACUACUGAAGCGAAACCGCACGUGUUUUAUUACAGCUUUAAUUGCAAGUAUCCUCUUAACUGUACUUUACACCAUAACCGUGGCCGGGGAGAGAAUAUAAAAUAUAGACGUUGCGAUUAUGCAAUGCCUUUAAAGAGUUUGUUUUUACUCAUCGUGCCAGGGCACGUAUCGAUAAAAAAUAACAUUACAAGAGUUACUUCCACUGUUGUAGAAGAAAGGACAACAAAUUUUAGUCGUGGAUGUAGAUAAUUCGUGCCCAUCCUCAAUGCCGCGAGUCACUAUGCGCGGCUUGAAUUUAUCCGUCAUUCUUCGAUUUGCCUUUUCUUUAAUAUUAUAAUAUGCAUAUAAAAGAAGUACAAAUGUGUGUGUGUGUGUGUGUGUGUGUUUCGUCGUUUGAUUUAAGCACGUGUCUAUGGGAUCUUUUUACUGAUUCAAGCCAUUUUGAUCACGAAUCGCUGAGUCUCCACCCACUCUUUAUUCUUUACGUAAUUCUAUUCUCCUUCUUUCUUUUUUCUUGACUUCGCGUUCACAUGAAAAGAUCAAAGCGAAAAUUAUUUCGCUCGCGUACGCGAGUAUCUUCGUAAACUCGCUCUUUCUUGCGCGCUGCCCACCCUGACAUUUUUUCAAUCGACAUCACUCUGUUAGUUGUGGCAAACGUAACUUAUAACUUCCUUAAAAGGUACUUUACGAAGUACAACGCCAUUAUAAAUUCACGUUUACGUCGGGCAGCCAGAGCUCGUCGUGUGGUGGCGGCCGCGACGAUGCAGUUCGAAAACGCACACCGAGAACGCGGCACUUUGCACUUCGCGACACACCCUGCGCCGUUAAUUCGUUACUUUACUUCACCCUUUACAGCGGGUAGGCACGAUUUUCUCUGCAAUUUAUAGUAACCGACACCGUCGAUGACCAUUCGUAUUCGAAAACGAGCCGACACUCU